AGAACUACUUGCUCAGUCUGGAAUGACAGGCUUCUGUGCUGACAGGAGCAAGGAAGGGCCUCUGUCCAGGGACACCAUGCUGUGCUGCAGACACUGUCUCAUUUAACCCUCAUGGAAGCCCAAGGGCUAGGAUUCUAACAGCAGGCCACAGCUGUCCCUGUCCUUGGGGCUUGCGGACAACUGGAUAGACGAGUGUGUGGGUCCACGAGAUAGCUUGGAAAGUAAAGGUAUUUGCUGCCAAGCCUGAUGACCCAGAAUUCACAUUAUAAGGAAAGAGAACCGAUCCGCAGGAACCCGUGUCUGCAUGCAGGACUCUGAAAAUAUGAAGCUUUACCUGAGCAGGAAAUAGACAGCCACAUCCUGCUUGGCAGUCAGGGGGCAGAGAGCAAGAGACGCUGGACCUGAACUGGGCUUUUGAGACCUCAAAGCCCACCCCCAGCAGCACAACUCCUCCAACAAGAUAUGUCUUCUCACUAGAAUGUGCACUUCUUGGACACGAGUCACACUCCCCAGAUCAGGAUAAGGCCUGCUUGUGUUUGCUGAGAUAAUAAAUGAGUGGACAAAGAAGCUGGAGAUGAGACUCUCACAGAGCAGAUUUCUCUGAGGGGAGAAACCAAAGCCUCAAAGCCCAGCCUGAGAGCUAAGGAGAUGACCUGGGAGGGUAAGAGCACUGGCUGUGCCUGCGGAGGACACAAGUUUGGUUCCUAGCAUCCACAUAGGGCAACACGGAACUUCUAUAAAUCUAGCCACCCAGGAUCCGACAUCCUCUGCUGGUACUUACACUCAUUCAUAUUCACACCAUUUAAAAACUUUUGAAUGAAUCUUAAAAAUAGAAAACAAACAAACAAGAGUAAGAAACCAAGCCUGGCAUUUAGCCCAUGUUUCCAACCCUUUAGAUGGGUUAUCUCAAUUAACUUUCAGAAUUAAACCACAAAGAGGGUUAGGGGUAUAGCUCAUUUUAGAAGGUGCUUGCCUAGCAUACACUACACCUGGUUCUGAUCCCAGGGCACAUACACACAAAAGUAGAGAGAAUAGUCUCCUCCAAGGGGGUGAGAGCACUGCCUAACACCACAUUAGCUAACACACAACAGUCGUGAGCACAGGAUUUCACAUCACGCCCCAGGUGAUCUGUGCAUGUCUUCAUUGCUGUCAUUUAAUUCUACCUGACAUUUCUGUUUACCAUUCUGAUUACCAAGGGAGAUACGUGUAAUUUCCUGUCAUCCACCCAGUGUUAGCAAAACGUUAAGUCUUGACCAUGAAGAAAUUGUCUGGAUCUACUUGGGGCUGAUCAGUAAAUGGCCACUCUUUGCAAGUGUUUGCACAGAUGGCUGGCUGCCUCAGUACACAGAGGUGCUCUAGCUAUAAGAACGGAGGGCAUAAAAACAGUAAGCUGGGCUCGGGGCACAGUGCACUGGGAGAGCAAGGCUUAGAAUGUCCAAGGUCCUGAGGUCCCUUAUGUUUACAAUGAGGCAAAUCUGGGCAAGAGAUAGUCAGGUGUUCAAAGAGCAAACAAGUGGGAAAAGAUGGAAGUGUUUGGAGGAGACUCAAAGCUUUGUGUUUCCUCUCUGAAUCAUUUACUUCUCCAGCUAGUUAUUCUUUACGUUGUUUGCAAGGUCUUGUUUUUCCCAUUUGAAACGCAGUUGGCCAGGAGCUGGAGAUGCUGAACACUGGCGUGUAUAAAACCCUAGGCUCCAUUCUCAACAGGUUUUAAAAAAAAAAAAAAAGGCUAGUCACUCCUCCUGCUCCAGCAGACCAGGUUGUGACUUCCGGGGCUGCAGUGGCUAAGGACAGUGUUUCAGCAACAUAACAUAAUCAUAAAGACCUCUGCCUUUAUUGACUGUUUCAGUCUAUGCCACAUGAAACCCUAACCAAGUUCUUCCACCAGUAAGCCAGUUAAAACAGCCAAGUUCACUGUGAAAGAGCUAAAAACGGAAGAGGGACAAAGAGAACAGCUGAUCAGGAUUCCUCUUCCAGAGCCAAACGUGAGGUUAGGUUUAAAUUGAGGCCAGAGUUGAUAGUUUCCUGACU
ensembl:processed_transcript A430010J10Rik RIKEN cDNA A430010J10 gene